CAGGGAUGGCUGAGGACAAGAAUGAUUCUCAGCAGGAGGGGUGACCACCUCAAGAGCCUCAAAACACUUCUAGAAAUAGGACUAAAUAACAAAGGGUACCCUGAAGUCUGAAAACACCUCAAGUUCAUGAAGCAAAGUAGCAACAUGAGGGAGAAGAAGGGAGGUGGAAUAACUGCAGGCAGAAGCAGUUUGUUGAGCCCUUUCCCAACUGAAAGCAAAGCCCAGAACCCAGGGCUGAGGACAGCGAGGCAAAAGGAAGCAGAAAGGAGGUGAGCAAGAGGAGAGGCUGUGCCAGCUGAUGUCCAGACCUAUGGCCACAACGUCAAUGGGAGCAAGGCCAAAAUGACAUUGAAUCUGCAGAAGCAUCAUCAAAAUAGCAUCCCCCGACAGAAACGCCACGAGUCUGAGGGUCAGCUCCAGGCCAGCUCCUGCAGCCGAGUCAGGCGCUUCCCAGGGGACGUGUUCCAGCUCACCCAGCUGACCUAACUUUGGCUCUGUCCCCGGCUAUCGCGCCCAGCGCUGUGUCCAACCAUCCAGCGGGGCUGCAGCGCCUUUCAGUGGGACAAGGGGAUCACUGGGAGAGCAGAUCUGGUGCAGUGGGAGCCAGGAGCCGUGAGGAGGUAACUGAGAAACUGCCCCUCUUCUAACCUGGCUGCAUUUGUAGAAGAGGAGCUGAGUGUGUCCCUCCAGGCAGUGGGGAUGGGUAUCCCAAGGAGAAAAAGUGUCAGGGAAGAGGAAGGCAUUCCAAACAGCCCAAGGAGUCUGUCCAUGCUGCCUGUGGAGCUGGCCAAGGGAGCAGAAAUGGUGGAUGGAAAGAUAAAAUGAUCAGUUUAAAUAUUUGUUUUACAUGUGGAAGAGACGAUAAGGAAGGGGAGAUAAGUUGCAGCAUGCUACGAUUGCAAAUAGUAAUUUUCGUUUUCCUCUGGGACACGCACAUUGCCCCCUUCUGCAUGUUUUCCUAUGGAAACAAAGAACUUUUCACAUUCCCCCUGACUUUAAUAACUUUUGAACCUAUUAUCUAAUUUUGACUGAAUUUAUUAGGAGGCAAUGAUAUCAAAGAUAUCAUCCCUGUAAGAGUUUGUCAGGCCAGGCAAAGAAGAGAAUUUUUCCUAUUUGAGAGACCAAUAUAACCUCACCAUUUUCUAAGCAACAGAGAAUCCAUGGAUGCACAAGCCUCUGAAGGGAUGAGGAAGAAAAAGGGCAAGAGAGGUGUCCAAGCACCAGAGGACAGGUGGCCAACUGGCCAAGCUCUCUUGAUUGAGGCCAAUUAAGCACUAAACACAGUACGGAGCUGGUAAUUCUUUGGAAGAUAUUCUACUUGAAAUGGCAAAAAACAAGGUCCCUUUUCCUUGCAGGUGCACCACAGAUUUCAAUACCAGGGCAAAUACGUGAAUGAAAAUGUCUUUGAUAUCCUUCCUUCUCACUCCUUCCCUUUCUCCCUGGGGACAGGGCCCUCUCCUGCCUCCAAAGCACAAGUGACUGGGAGGCCAUUUGGCAGGGCUGCUCUCCUGCUUUUUGGCUGUACACAGGCACUGCUAAAAACCAACCCACAUAAACCACCGGGACAGGAAUGGAAAGCAUAGCAGAAUGAUCAUACUCCUGGUAGGAGGCCAAAUGCUAACAGUGCAGAAGCCUGUAUGGGUUUGUUAACCUAUUAAAAUAACAUAAUUCUUGCCCCACCAGCACAUUCAUAUGUGGCUUCUGCCACAACAGGUCAGUAAAGAUUUAUUUACCAGGCCUGCAGCACGAAAUGCUGUCUGGACCCUGCUGGGAAUCUGCAGAAAAAUGCAGUAAACAGCAACAAACACUUUGGUGCUUCUCCUUUUGCUGAAAGCAAAGCCUCCAAUGGUGGCUAUAAAUCUUUUGCUGCCACUUGCAGAGGGUAUUUACUAAUUACAGCAUCAGCACGUCUUGUGCCAGUUGUAGGUCAUCGGGAUAGCCUAGAAAAGGAACAGAAAUAGUUUUGCAACGAAGGCAGGCUUGAAGAACGAAUGUCUCAGCACUGAUCUCUCCACUGCUCUGGCAGCAGCACUAGGAAACUAAGGAUCACAAUGCAGAGAACAAGGAUGUUAAUUCUGCCUAAAUAACAGACCGCAUUUCCUCUACCCGGCUGUUCUGAGGAGCUAAUUACACACAUUCCCGAAUCAAAGAAGUAUAAAACAGUCUGCAAAUGAUUGCAAUGUUGAUGUGUUGGCAGUCCAAACCAUGACAUAUGGUCCUUCAGUUUGCCAUCCUAGAGAACAAGCUCACGAGCAACCCUCGUAAGGCAAAAUUACAGAAAGAGGCUGACUCUAGAAAUGAGCUUGAGGUGGCCUCCCUCCUUAGCCCCACAGUCAGUGUUUCACAGAGCCACUGCCAACCUGGUCAUAGGUCCCCAAAUGUACCUCCCUUGAGGGGGAAGGAAGGUGAAUCAUAUCCAGGCAGGAUCCUGGCUCAGUCAAUACCCACACACAAACUUUGCAAAGCCAAGAUUUCGGCACCAACUCCAGCUGGACAUGCGUGUGCCACCAGCCCUGCUCUGGGACCGCUCCGCAGCGUGUGCCAGCCUCUGAGCCACUCAGCAGCAGGAUCCAGACCUUCAGGUUCAUCACUGGACCCCCAUCACGGACCUGGGGGAGUGAGGGAUACCUGCACACCCCAGGAGGGCAGAGGGGUGAGACACGAGCACGCCGAGGGCGUCCACACACAGCCUUCCCCCACAGCAGUCGGUGCGCGUUCGUUGCUCCGGGCCCAGCCAAGGAGGUGUGUGGGGCAGGGCAGGUGGGGCCUUGCCCCGGCGGGGCAGUGCCCUGCUCCUCACAGCCCACCCCUCUGGAGCCGGUGUCCCAGCCCUGCAGCGGUGCCAGCCACUGGCAAUGCUCCACACCCACCCCUGGAGCCCCUGACCCAGCUCCUGAGUGGCAAAGUGACCAGAAGUCCCACCUGGGAGAAGGGCUCAGGAAGGCCAAGGGAUAUUUAAGGCCAUCAUGUUUAUCCAGACCCUACCUCUCCUCUAACAUCGCUGGAACUCAGGAGCUGGGAUACAAAGUUCAGCUGCACAGAACAGCAUCCCUGCAUUGAGCAGCUCAGAGCACUGAGAUCAAGAUUUUGGCCCAGAAGAGAGGUAACCCUGGCUCCCCUGCCUGCAUCCUCAAUCCACUCUCCUCCUGCCCCAUCAGGACUGCAGGGCAGGAGGAGCAGGCAGGGAGGAGUUUGACCUCCCCUCCUCCUCCCUUAAGGUCCUUGUUUUGAGCUUGUAGCUCAGAAUGGAUAAUUUUUAUGUGCUCAGAAUCUGCUGUGGACACCGUGGACUUCAUUAAUCCAAAAAAGGCUAAAUGGGCACAGUACCUUUGCACUUGCCUGCCUUACUUCACACUGAAAUCCCAAAUUCUGGUGUGCUGACGGGCUGCUGGUUGCUUUGCUCUCAUCCUGCCCGUGUUUGGCCUUCAAAUGGGCAAAUGUAACUCUGGUAACAGAGCAGAGGAAAGCUCAUAGAGGCCACAGGAGCAUUGUGCCUCUUCAGAAGGAGACAGCAGAUAAACAGGAUUAAGGAAUUUUGCAUAGUUCAACCUGCCAGGUCCUGUGAAGAGGAAAUGUAGGGAAAGCAUGCAGCCCUGAUUCAGAGGAAAAGCCUUUGAAAUGCUUGCCAGGCAAAAUGUGUUAAGAUACAAGCUGCUUUUCCUCUGUAGCAGGGUGCAGUGCAGGGAACAGCUCUGUGGAGCCCACCCCACGCCAGGCACAGUCUGUGGUGCUUAGACAGAUUUCAAGAGCCCUGGGAGCCAAGCAAAGCAGUUCUGAUUCUGAGUCACAGCCUGGUGCUGGUGCUGGAAUUCAAACAGGGAGAUCCCCUGCAAGAUGUUCUGUUCUGGACCAGACUGAAAAAUUUUACCAAGAAUUGGUUUCCCGGGAAGACCUUAAUUUUUUUCACCUCUUUUUUCUAUUGUUGUUGAAAAGUGCUGAAAACUAAAACAUUUAGAAUGGGGCUGGUUGUAUUUGGGGUUUUCUUUAGGGAAAGGGGCUGGAUCUGGGAUUAUAUCUAGAGAAAGUGUUUGGAUUUUCCAGUUUCCUUGAGGUGAAACUGGCUUGUUCUGACACCUGGUCUCAGGGCAGCAGGUGUAUCCUGCAGUUGUUUGGGCUAUGCCCUGUGGGAAUGCAGUAUUAGAGACUCUGCCCUCAGCAGUCUUGUCCCCCAGGAGGAGAGGAUAUGCCUGUAACUCACCACUGCUCCGGGACAAGAGAAGCUGCCAGUGUCCCUCCCCAAAACCAGAGGCCUUCAUAUCCUCUCCUCACUCCUGGCCACGGCACCAAAGGAUGAACACUGAUUCUUGUGAGCUCUCUGUAAGCCAGCAUACAGUGAAGCCUGAGAGGGCUCUGCUUAUCAAACCCAAGGGAAAGAUAUUGGGAGAAAGGACAGGAACACUGCAAAAUGAAGUUCCUGCUGUGUGAUCAUCUCUGUGGAGUGCCAUCCCAGCCUACAUGGCAUCACUGGGCUGCCAUGUUCUUUAGCAUUAGUGGCUCUGCCUUUUUGCCCCUCAGGUUUGGCUGGGGAUGCAGCACAGAGCCAGGUUUGGCCAUUUGAGUGAAGUUGGAGAAAGGAGGCAGAAGAAAAUCAAGGCAGAAACCAGCACAGCCUAAGCAUUCCCUGUGGCACAGGGACAAGAGCAGCAUCCAUCAUCCCACUGGGGUGGGACUGAGGCAACCGGUGCAAGAUGGGUGGUCCAAGAUUUUGGACAUUUCCUGAGUGCCCAGGGUGCUCAUAGAGAGUCUGGCUGUCUCUACAAGCAAGGGGAGUGAGGCAGCCCUCGGGCAGCUGCCAGAGAUGGAAAGUGAGGUGGGUGAUCCUCAAUGGGAACUCCAGGUUGGGUAACCCAGUCCCAUCUUCACAAGAAAGUAUUUUAUUUCUAAACAGCUCCAUCUAAAAUAAAGAAAAACCUAAGCUUUUAAUAUUUAAAUUUUUUUUCUUUUUUUUUUUAUUUUUAGGAUUUGUUCAAUUAUUUAUUUGCAGAUAAUAAUGCAAAAAAGGUUCUUUAGAGUUGGUCUGGACAAUGUUCUGUUAAAACUCCCACACAAAGGGCACCUACCACUAGUGAAUUAUAAGGAAUUGAGUGAGGAGUCAGGUCUGGUUUCCCUGCAUCUGCUCGGAAUUUUCUCUCUUUCACAUCAUAUCAUACUUGUUCUACCCCUCAGGGCACUCCUGUCCUUGGAUGAGGAUUUAGUGUGGCUGUUAAAUCCUGUUUGAAUGGACUUCCAGACAGCCCAGACAGCUGAAAGCUUGGCUGCACAGAAUGCAGGACAGGACUGUUGGGAUGGGGAGCAGGCGCGGGGAGAAGCUGCUUCUCCAGAUGAGGUCUGAGCUGUGCUGUGCAGGUUUCCAGAGCAGCUCACCCCUCCCCUGCUCUGCUGGGCUCGGGGGGCUGUGGGAAAUCUGCUUUGCUGGUCCAUUCCACAGAGCUCUGUGUCCAGCUUCACUGUCCUGCCACUCCAGACCUGCUGGCUCUGAGGAGCCUGCAAGAGCAAUGCCAAGUGGGCAAGAGAAGAUGUAAGCAUGGAAGAUUUGUCAAAGAAAACUUUUUAAAAAUAUCAUAUAUCCCACAGCAGUCCAAAGUAAUAGCUCAGCUGCUGAAAAGGUGGAAUUAAAUAGGUCAGGCUGUAGAGCUGUGCUGCUCUCUGCCAGCUAAAGGAACUAACUUCUCAUCUGUUAGACUUUUCAUCUUUUGCUGUUCCAAGAAUCCAUCUUUCUGCUAGUAAUGAUGUCAAAUAAAUCUUCACUAAAAUGUAAAAAUGUUUAUGAUUAUACUUACUGACCCGUUCCUUUAUUAAAUGAGGACAAUGGGAUGAUGCCUUGAUAUUUACUAAUGGGUUACUCCCAUCUAACCUUUUCUUGUUCAUCCAGAUCAUCUGUUUUCAUUUUACCAUUC